rnacentral:rRNA from 1 species
UGUGGUCCCACCUGAUCCCAUUCCGAACUCAGAAGUGAAACACAGUAUCGCCGAUGGUAGUGUGGGGUUUCCCCAUGUGAGAGUAGGUCAU